rnacentral:rRNA from 1 species
CCUACGGGAGGCAGCAGUGGGGAAUAUUGCACAAUGGGCGAAAGCCUGAUGCAGCAACGCCGCGUGAGCGAUGAAGGCCUUCGGGUCGUAAAGCUCUGUCCUCAAGGAAGAUAAUGACGGUACUUGAGGAGGAAGCCCCGGCUAACUACGUGCCAGCAGCCGCGGUAAUACGUAGGGGGCUAGCGUUAUCCGGAUUUACUGGGCGUAAAGGGUGCGUAGGUGGUUUUUUAAGUAAGAGGUGAAAUGCUAGGGCUCAACCGAAGUAAGCCUUUUAAACUGGGAAACUUGAGUGCAGGAGAGGAGAGUGGAAUUCCUAGUGUAGCGGUGAAAUGCGUAGAGAUUAGGAGGAACACCAGUUGCGAAGGCGGCUCUCUGGACUGUAACUGACACUGAGGCACGAAAGCGUGGGGAGCAAACAGGAUUAGAUACCCUUGUAGUC